AAAUUGAAGAGUUUGAUCAUGGCUCAGAUUGAACGCUGGCGGCAGGCCUAACACAUGCAAGUCGAACGGUAACAGGAAGCAGCUUGCUGCUUUGCUGACGAGUGGCGGACGGGUGAGUAAUGUCUGGGAAACUGCCUGAUGGAGGGGGAUAACUACUGGAAACGGUGGCUAAUACCGCAUAACGUCGCAAGACCAAAGAGGGGGACCUUCGGGCCUCUUGCCAUCAGAUGUGCCCAGAUGGGAUUAGCUUGUUGGUGAGGUAACGGCUCACCAAGGCGACGAUCCCUAGCUGGUCUGAGAGGAUGACCAGCCACACUGGAACUGAGACACGGUCCAGACUCCUACGGGAGGCAGCAGUGGGGAAUAUUGCACAAUGGGCGCAAGCCUGAUGCAGCCAUGCCGCGUGUAUGAAGAAGGCCUUCGGGUUGUAAAGUACUUUCAGCGGGGAGGAAGGUGUUGUGGUUAAUAACCGCAGCAAUUGACGUUACCCGCAGAAGAAGCACCGGCUAACUCCGUGCCAGCAGCCGCGGUAAUACGGAGGGUGCAAGCGUUAAUCGGAAUUACUGGGCGUAAAGCGCACGCAGGCGGUCUGUCAAGUCGGAUGUGAAAUCCCCGGGCUCAACCUGGGAACUGCAUUCGAAACUGGCAGGCUUGAGUCUUGUAGAGGGGGGUAGAAUUCCAGGUGUAGCGGUGAAAUGCGUAGAGAUCUGGAGGAAUACCGGUGGCGAAGGCGGCCCCCUGGACAAAGACUGACGCUCAGGUGCGAAAGCGUGGGGAGCAAACAGGAUUAGAUACCCUGGUAGUCCACGCCGUAAACGAUGUCUACUUGGAGGUUGUGCCCUUGAGGCGUGGCUUCCGGAGCUAACGCGUUAAGUAGACCGCCUGGGGAGUACGGCCGCAAGGUUAAAACUCAAAUGAAUUGACGGGGGCCCGCACAAGCGGUGGAGCAUGUGGUUUAAUUCGAUGCAACGCGAAGAACCUUACCUGGUCUUGACAUCCACGGAAGAAUCCAGAGAUGGAUUGGUGCCUUCGGGAACCGUGAGACAGGUGCUGCAUGGCUGUCGUCAGCUCGUGUUGUGAAAUGUUGGGUUAAGUCCCGCAACGAGCGCAACCCUUAUCCUUUGUUGCCAGCGGUCCGGCCGGGAACUCAAAGGAGACUGCCAGUGAUAAACUGGAGGAAGGUGGGGAUGACGUCAAGUCAUCAUGGCCCUUACGACCAGGGCUACACACGUGCUACAAUGGCGCAUACAAAGAGAAGCGACCUCGCGAGAGCAAGCGGACCUCAUAAAGUGCGUCGUAGUCCGGAUUGGAGUCUGCAACUCGACUCCAUGAAGUCGGAAUCGCUAGUAAUCGUGGAUCAGAAUGCCACGGUGAAUACGUUCCCGGGCCUUGUACACACCGCCCGUCACACCAUGGGAGUGGGUUGCAAAAGAAGUAGGUAGCUUAACCUUCGGGAGGGCGCUUACCACUUUGUGAUUCAUGACUGGGGUGAAGUCGUAACAAGGUAACCGUAGGGGAACCUGCGGUUGGAUCACCUCCUUACCUGAAAGAAGC
rnacentral:rRNA from 1 species